rnacentral:sRNA from 1 species
CACUCCCGCUUCUUCAAGUUCUAUCUCGCCUGACCAAAGGCCACUUUAAAUUAUCCGUAAUGACAUCCGUUGCCGUCUAAUGUGGCAUUCAUCCAUUUAUUCAUUUGCCUCUGAGGCAGCAGAGGUCCAUUUAUUGUUUUUCGCUUCCUAAUCAGUACUCUAUAUUGUUUGAUGGUUUGGUUCAAAAGGACAACAGGAUGUGGCUCUGUGUGUGGUUAAGGGUUGUCCAAGUGGACAAAGUAUCCCUUCCGAUUCGAUCAAAAUUUACGAUAAAUGCUUUAAAAAUUCUAUACACCUCAAAUACACAAUGGACGCACAGAUAGCGGAGAAGUUUUUCAAUUUUUGUUAAAUUAGAUGACAUCAUAUGUGGAGUGCCCUUUGUUCCCGCCACACAUGUGAAGGAGUUGGAUAUGUGAUUUUGGGGUAGAUUUAUGAGGGAACGACUGCACCUGCUUGAAAAUGUCCCCCUCCCACACAAACAUAUAUCAUUUAAUGAGGAAAAUCUGUGCUGCCAAAAUUUGUAAGCAAUUAUCUGCGGUGAAAAAAGAGCCCAAAAACAAUCAUCAAUCUCUGUCUGCAACUGUUAAAAGCACAUGCAUUUAAAUUAGACAUUUAAGCCAAGCGCCCCCGCCUGAAAAUACAAUCCCCAAUAUUCAAAUAGAACGAAGUCAGUAAAAAGGCGAGGCUUCAACAGUAAACUACCCUUUAAAAAACAUUGAACAAAUUAGAGAAAUAAUAAUAAAGUUUAUACAAAAUUCUGUGAAAAUAACAA